rnacentral:rRNA from 1 species
UACAGAGGGUGCAAGCGUUAAUCGGAAUUACUGGGCGUAAAGCGCGCGUAGGUGGUUCGUUAAGUUGGAUGUGAAAUCCCCGGGCUCGACCUGGGAACUGCAUCCAAAACUGGCGAGCUAGAGUAGGGCAGAGGGUGGUGGAAUUUCCUGUGUAGCGGUGAAAUGCGUAGAUAUAGGAAGGAACACCAGUGGCGAAGGCGACUACCUGGACUGAUACUGACACUGAGGUGCGAAAGCGUGGGGAGCAAACAGGAUUAGAAACCCGAGUAGU